ensembl:lncRNA
GCACGGGAAUAUUGCUCUGCACCAGGGCUGGGCUGGGGCCGGAUCCUGCCCGCUAUCACUGCCAUGAGUUGCGCUGGGCUCAGCAGGGCACAGAGGGGUCCCUUGGUGGGAUGGGGGGCUGUGGUAGUGGCACAGGGACAGGUUCCACAGGUCCCCUUGUCCCCUGCAGCACUGGGGGGAUCCGUUGCAGAAAGUGAUGUGGGAGCAGAGCCUGGAGCUCGUGGUGAGCCCUGCAGGAAGGCAGCUCCAGGAACACAGCAGCAGCAGAAACGUGGGCUCUAAGCAUGACAUUCUGGAGGCUCCUCACCCACCAGUGCCCACGAGAGCCCUGUGUGCUCGUGUCAGCCCCUUGCUGGGGUUCCCUUUCCUUGUGCCCUUAAUCCACCUCUAUGGCACAGCAUGAGCAGGGCUGGGCGCUCUGCAAACUCCUGCUCUGUGACUGCCUCUCCAAAGGGGCUUCUUGGCGACUCAGGGGGGAUAUGCAGAGAAAAUGGAGAUUGGACAAGCCCAUCUUAAUUGCGUUUUGUUACAGCAAGGAAAGGAACUCUUCCUCUGGCUGAGCCCUGCACAGUGUCCCCAUGGGGAGCCACAGUCCUACGUGCAAAUGCCAACACCACUCACCUCGGGGGUCCCCACCGGUGCUGCAUGGAGCAGGGGCAGCCUCAAAAGCCCCAUGCUGGGUCGGGGUGGGCUGGCAGCCGUGGCACACGGGAUGGGCAGGUGUGUGGCGCUGCGCAGUGCCAUCGCUGAUGGCACCAAUGGGGCAAGGGCAGAGCAGCUGUGGUGCUGCCUGGCUCCCCGCCACCCCGUGCAGCUCGAGUCAAAUUUGGUGUCAUCCUGCAGAGGAAGAUUAUGGUAAUUUUCCUUCCCCCUUAUGCAUAAUUUUCAGACUCGGCUGCAGCAGAGGCUGUGUGGAGAGAUUGGGUGAUGGGAAUGUCAUCUGCGAUUCGAUUAUCUCCUCCUGCCUUGCCUUUUUUAUUUUUUUUUUCUUCCUUGUGAAACCUUCAUCAAAAUACAUAGAUCUAAUUAGGACAAUUACAGCGCGAGGACAGCUGAGAACCCACCCAGGCCCUCUCUGCACCGAGCUGAGUGUUGGCUGCUUGGAAACCAGCAGCUGGGGGGGUCCCGUGUGGCACUGCUCGGGGGCGGCGGUGACAUCGGGGUUCCCUGCCAGGCAGGCGGCCUCGGCUUUGUCCCCACAGCUGUGCCAUCAGCAUCUGCUGGUGACGGAUCUGUGUCACGAGCUGCAGGGUCUCAGCACCUCGCUGACACACUGCAGGGGGAGCCGCCCCCCAUCCCGGCACACGGGGCAAAGCGUCCCCACCCCUGGGGGUGCUGCUCUGCGAGGAGAGGCCGCCCGUCAGCCUGCAGCUCCGCGUCCCUCAUUGGUAUUCUGUUCCCGCUCGGUGGCAGCCGGCAGGAUGGGAGCGGAGUGACAGCGGUGACAGGUGGUUUGCUUCUCCUCUGGAAAUUCAGAGUUAAAUGACUCAUCAUUAUCUUAUUAAUGAAGAUGGAGGCUGGAGGUGAGAUGGAGGCAGAAGGCAGACGUGGGGCCAACCUGGAGGGACUGAGCACCAUCCACACUGCCUCACCUCCUCACCACCCCAUUCCCAGGGAUCAGCCCAG